GGAGGCAGCUGUCUACGGUGGGGCUGAUGAUUGGGGUGAAGUCGUAACAAGGUAGCCGUAGGGGAACCUGCGGCUGGAUCACCUCCUUU
rnacentral:ncRNA from 1 species